ACCAUUACUUUAUUUUUUUUAUAUUUUUUAUUUUUAUUUUUUGACGAUAAUGUCAAGUUUAAUCUGCCAAAUAUACAAGUUGAACUUGUGGAACAUGUUUUGCCUGGGUGCCACACAGUAAACAGAGGUUUCUUGAAAUGAUCAAUGGGUAGGGUUAAAAAUGGGCACUGGCCUUAGCCAGGUGGGUAGGAACUGGGCAGGGAGGAGCAGAGAGGUGAGGCCUCGAUUGAUGGCCAGCGGGCCAGGUCAGCCUUGGCUUGCUCUGUCUUCCCGGCCAAGUGCAUUUUCAUGUAACGCUCUUUUGCCUUCUGCAUCUCAAUCUCUUCUCGUUCUUUCCUCGAAAGCGCCUUUGGCCCAUCCAGAUCCAGUUGUGUGACCUUUUGGUUGUCUGUACCCGGUUGGGGUUCUCGAUGUCGAAGAGCCCUUCAAGGCCUUUGCGGUUUUGCUGGUAGUCAUCUUCUUCAUCCUCACUCUCAUCUGAGUCUAGAGAUUUCUUCUCCUUUUUGGGGUUACCUGCAGCCCCAUCUC
rnacentral:lncRNA from 1 species